ensembl:snRNA U6 U6 spliceosomal RNA
GUGCUCGCUUCGGCAGCGCAUAUACUGAAAGUGGAAGGAUACAGAGGUUAGCAUGGCCCCCAUGCAAAGAAGGCACACAAAUGUGUGCAGCAUCCCGUAUUUUU